GUGCUCCAUUCAGCAGUACAUAUACUAAAAUUAGAACAGCAUAAAUAUUGGCAUGGCCCCUGCACAAGGGUGACAUGUGAACUUAUGAAGCAUUCAUAUUUUUA
ensembl:snRNA U6 U6 spliceosomal RNA